rnacentral:rRNA from 1 species
UUGGAUCAUUAAAAAAUGUUUGGUCUUGUACCAAAUUAACACUUGUGUGCACUAAAUGACUGUUUUUGGUAGCUCGAGUUGACCAUCGGAACUCAACAUUCCUUUUGGUCCUACCGCGAUUUGAAUAGCAGGUUCGCCUGUAUUUCGAAUCAUUUUAUGCGGUUGGGCUACCGACCAUGUUCAAUUAACUUUUUUGUUUUUUUGUCUGAAUUUUAAGAUUUGAUCUUUGAUGAUUGAAUAUUAAAUACAACUUUUGACAACGGAUCUCUUGGCUCUCGCAACGAUGAAGAACGCAGCGAAAUGCGAUAAGUAAUGUGAAUUGCAGAAUUCCGCGAAUCAUCGAAUCUUUGAACGCACAUUGCGCUCCUUGGUAUUCCGGGGAGCAUGCCUGUUUGAGAAUCAGUAAAUCUCUCAAAACUCAUUUUCCUUGGGCAACCGAGCUGAAUUUGAGUUUUGGAUUUGAGUCUUAUUCGAGGAUCAUUCAUUUGAACCCCGAUGGCUUUAAAUUGAAUGUCAGGAAAUCUUGCAGCCCACCCGGUCACGAUUUCAACGCAGGAAAGAGUGUUUUCACUUUGAGAUUACGUUUGAUGUUGAUCGGUUUAAAGUGGACUCGGUUUUGUGACUCACCAAUUAUCCAAGGCUGACAGAAGUUUUCUGUYCGGUUUUGAACACUUGGUCUCAAAUCAGGUAGGAAAACCCGCUGAACUUAAGCAUAUCAAUAAGCGGAGGAAAAGAAACUAACAAGGAUUCCCCUAGUAACGGCGAGUGAAGCGGGAACAGCUCAAAUUUGAAAUCUCACUGGUUUACCAGUGCGAAUUGUAGUUUAUAGAAACGUUUUCGGGGGUGGCUCGGGCAUAAGUCCUUUGGAAUGAGGCAUCAUAGAGGGUGAGAAUCCCGUCUUUGGUCCGAAGUCCGCUCCUAUGUGAUGCGUUUUCUAAGAGUCGGUUUGUUUGGGAAUGCAGACCAAAAUGGGUGGUAAAUACCAUCUAAAGCUAAAUAUUGGCGAGAGACCGACAGCGAACAAGUACCGUGAGGGAAAGAUGAAAAGAACUUUGAAAAGAGAGUUAAAAGUACGUGAAAUUGUCAAAAGGGAAACGCUUGAAACCAGUAUUGCUUGCGAGUAAUCAGCCAUCCCUUUUGGGGCGGUGCACUUGCUCGUUGGCAGGUCAACAUCAGUUUGGCUCGAGGUAAAAAGCUUUGAGAAGGUAGCCCCUCGGGGUGUUAUAGCUCAGAGUCAUGCCUUGGGCUGGACUGAGGUCUGCAGUGUAAUUUGGGUUACCAGUCGCCUCCUGACGCCGAAUCGUAGACAGCAUGCUGACUACGGCUUGUAAUAGGGAGCCCGGUUGGGAUUCCACACCAA